AGGCUGCUGCCGAAGAGGGCUCGGGCUACGAUCCUCGCUUAGGUUUUGCACAUGAUCCACAAGUGGUUUGGCUUCGGCUCUCUCCAAGCCCUUAAGAGAGUUGUGUAAAGGCACUCCCCGGGCAGCCUCAUCCCGUGCAAUGGGCCAGACUCCAGAGACAAGCAGGGGCGUUCCCAAAACUAGUUGAGCAAAGAGAGUGCUUUGCAUAACCAGAAGCCAGGGAUGUGUAUCAACUCCUCCCUUACCCCCAAUGCUGGGCACAGACGCUAGUAAUGGUAGAUGUCCUCAAGCAGUGUUUCUCAACCUGGGGAUCAUGACGAUCUUAAACUGAAGCUCCAAGCCCCAGAGGGUUGUGGAAGCCCGGAGUUAAGGUACAAUAAGUAAUUUAGUAUGUGUUGAAUUGAAGAACAGGAUGACUAUACUCCAGAAAGGCAUGACCAGAUGGAAAAACGUCUCCACUUUGAAAGGUCUUCCUGGGCAGACUCCCACCAUUGGAAGAUGUCCACAUCUGGUGACAUCGGGAUGAAGAGACCACUCUGGUGAUUCGUAAAUGAUCUGCUCAGGUAUUCUGCCAGAUUGUUUUGGACCCCAGUAGAAAAACUUGGCACACCAACCUGACAGCUCUCAGCCCAUUGACGCUGAUGUAUAAAGUUCAGUCUUCUGCAGACCAUAGACCCUGAGUCUGUACACAGUCCAGAUGGGCCCCAC